rnacentral:rRNA from 1 species
UUGAAAGGGAAACGAUUGAAGUCAGUCAUGCCGGUGGGAAUCAACUUAGGGGAAACUCUAGGUGCACUUCUUCGCUUGGCAGGUCAACGUCGAUUUUGAAUGUCAUAAAAUAAUUGGGGGAAGGUAGCCCCUUCGGGAGUGUUAUAGCCCUUGAUAGAUGUGAUGUUUGGGGUCGAGGAUUGCAACGGAUACCCUCUGGGGCUAGCCGCCUGAUCUCUAAUCGGUGUUGGGUUACGGAUAGCAUGCUGACCGUGAUCUAAUUACUGGUUAAAAGGUUAGAGCAUGCAUAAAUUCGUUAAGGAUGUUGACGUA